UUGAACGCUGGCGGCAGGCCUAACACAUGCAAGUCGAACGGUAACAGGAAGAAGCUUGCUUCUUUGCUGACGAGUGGCGGACGGGUGAGUAAUGUCUGGGAAACUGCCUGAUGGAGGGGGAUAACUACUGGAAACGGUAGCUAAUACCGCAUAACGUCGCAAGACCAAAGAGGGGGGACCUUCUGGCCUCUUGCCAUCGGAUGUGCCCAGAUGGGAUUAGCUAGUAGGUGGGGUAACGGCUCACCUAGGCGACGAUCCCUAGCUGGUCUGAGAGGAUGACCAGCCACACUGGAACUGAGACACGGUCCAGACUCCUACGGGAGGCAGCAGUGGGGAAUAUUGCACAAUGGGCGCAAGCCUGAUGCAGCCAUGCCGCGUGUAUGAAGAAGGCCUUCGGGUUGUAAAGUACUUUCAGCGGGGAGGAAGGGAGUAAAGUUAAUACCUUUGCUCAUUGACGUUACCCGCAGAAGAAGCACCGGCUAACUCCGUG
rnacentral:rRNA from 1 species